rnacentral:rRNA from 1 species
AGAACGAACGCUGGCGGCAUGCCUAAUACAUGCAAGUCGAACGAACACUUCGGUGUUAGUGGCGCACGGGUGCGUAACGCGUGGGAAUCUGCCCUUGGGUUCGGAAUAACAGUUGGAAACGACUGCUAAUACCGGAUGAUAUCGAAAGAUCAAAGAUUUAUCGCCCAGGGAUGAGCCCGCGUAGGAUUAGCUAGUUGGUGAGGUAAAGGCGCACCAAGGCGACGAUCCUUAGCUGGUCUGAGAGGAUGAUCAGCCACACUGGGACUGAGACACGGCCCAGACUCCUACGGGAGGCAGCAGUAGGGAAUAUUGGACAAGU